rnacentral:rRNA from 1 species
AGUGGGGAAUAUUGCACAAUGGGCGCAAGCCUGAUGCAGCCAUGCCGCGUGUGUGAAGAAGGCCUUCGGGUUGUAAAGCACUUUCAGCAGUGAGGAAGGGGUGUAAGUUAAUAGCUUGCAUCUUUGACGUUAGCUGCAGAAGAAGCACCGGCUAACUCCGUGCCAGCAGCCGCGGUAAUACGGAGGGUGCGAGCGUUAAUCGGAAUUACUGGGCGUAAAGCGCAUGCAGGUGGUUUGUUAAGUCAGAUGUGAAAGCCCGGGGCUCAACCUCGGAAGGUCAUUUGAAACUGGCAAACUAGAGUACUGUAGAGGGGGGUAGAAUUUCAGGUGUAGCGGUGAAAUGCGUAGAGAUCUGAAGGAAUACCGGUGGCGAAGGCGGCCCCCUGGACAGAUACUGACACUCAGAUGCGAAAGCGUGGGGAGCAAA